UCUCUUGUUCCCCUCUGUUUUACGUUCUUUCUCGUUGAUCCUCGAGAAGUUCAGUCCUUUCUUGUUGUGUCUCUUGUUCCCUUCUGUUCCUUACUACUUCUCGACGUCUCUUUGCGAUGUUCCUUGACAAUCCUGCAACUCGUUUGCUCCUGCUUCUUGGCAUGAUUUUAAAAA